rnacentral:rRNA from 1 species
GAUGAACGCUGACAGAAUGCUUAACACAUGCAAGUCAACUUGUGGCGGACGGGUGUGUAACGCGUAACGAACUUUCCUCCCAGAUAGGGACAACAUUUGGAAACGAAUGCUAAUACCUGAUACUGUGAGAGAUGUUUGCGUCCCAUUAGCUAGUUGGCGAGGUAACGUCUCACCAAGGCGAUGAUGGGUAGCCGGCCUGAGAGGGUGAUCGGCAACAAGGGGACUGAGACACGGCAGUUGCACCGACGGGAGGCAGGAGUGGGGAAUAUUGGACAAUGGACCAAAGUCUGAUCCAGCAAUUAUGUGUGCAAGAUGAAUUUUUCGGAAUGUAAAGUGCUUUCAGUGGGGAAGCAGUACCAACAGAAGAAGUGACGGCUAAAUACGUGCCAGAAGCCGCGGUAAUAC